CCCGCCGGCGACCGGCGCACGGGUGAGUAACACGUAUGCAACCUGGCCGCCACAGGGGGAUAACCCGCGGAAACGCGGCCUAAUACCCCGUGACGCCACCGGAGGGCAUCCUCCGGUGGCCAAAGGAGCGAUCCGGUGGCGGAUGGGCAUGCGGCGCAUUAGCUAGACGGCGGGGUGACGGCCCACCGUGGCGACGAUGCGUAGGGGUUCUGAGAGGAAGGCCCCCCACACUGGGACUGAGACACGGCCCAGACUUCUACGGGAGGCAGCAG
rnacentral:rRNA from 1 species